GNNUUUUAUAUUGCCAAUGGGGGCAUCCUGGUCCAGCNAUGCCGCGUGUGUGAAGAAGGCUUUCGGGUUGUAAAGCACUUUCAUUGAGGAGGAAAAGCUGUGCGUUAAUAGCGUACAGCCGAGACGUUACUCAAAGAAGAAGCACCGGCUAACUCCGUGCCAGCAGCCGCGGUAAUACNGGAGGGUGCAAGCGUUAAUCGGAAUUACNUGGGCGUAAAGCGCGCGUAGGCNUUUUGCUAAGUCAGAUGUGAAAUCCCCGGGCUUAACCUGGGAACUGCAUUUGAGACUGGUAGGCUAGAGUGUGGUAGAGGUGAGUGGAAUUUCAGGUGUAGCGGUGAAAUGCGUAGAGAUCUGAAGGAACAUCAGUGGCGAAGGCGACUCACUGGGCCAUUACUGACGCUGAGGUGCGAAAGCGUGGGUAGCAAACAGGAUUAGAUACCCUGGUAGUCCACGCCCUAAACGAUGUCAACUAGGUGUAUGGGAAAUUUAUUUNUUGUGUAUCGAANCUAACGCNAUANGUUGACCGCCUGGGGAGUACGGNCGCANGACUAAAACUNAAAUGAAUNGNCNGNGGCCCNNACAGCCGG
rnacentral:rRNA from 1 species